GACGAACGCUGGCGGCGUGCUUAACACAUGCAAGUCGAGCGAUGAAGUUCCUUCGGGAGCGGAUUAGCGGCGAACGGGUGAGGAACACGUGAGGAAUCUGCCUUCUACUCUGGGAUAACUCCGGGAAACCGGGGCUAAUACUGGAUAUGAAACCUGGUGGCAUCAUCGGGUUUGGAAAGUUUUUCGGUAGAAGAUGACCUCGCGGCCUAUCAGCUUGUUGGUGAGGUAAUGGCUCACCAAGGCGACGACGGGUAGCCGGCCUGAGAGGGCACACGGCCACACUGGCACUGAAACACGGGCCAGACUCCUACGGGAGGCAGCAGUGGGGAAUCUUGCACAAUGGGGGCAACCCUGAUGCAGCGACGCCGCGUGAGCGAUGAAGCCCUUCGGGGUGUAAAGCUCUUUCGACGGGAACGAUAAUGACGGUACCCGGAGAAGAAGCUGCGGCUAACUACGUGCCAGCAGCCGCGGUAAUACGUAGGCAGCGAGCGUUGUUCGGAAUUACUGGGCGUAAAGAGUGUGUAGGCGGUGUUCCCAGUCUGUUGUGAAAUCUCCCGGCUUAACUGGGAGGGUGCAGCGGAAACUAGAAUGCUAGAGGGUGGGAGAGGUAAGCGGAAUUCCUGGUGUAGCGGUGAAAUGCGUAGAUAUCAGGAGGAACACCUGUGGUGUAGACAGCUUACUGGACCACUUCUGACGCUGAGACACGAAAGCG
rnacentral:rRNA from 1 species